CUGUGCGCGCAGCGUCGGCUCAGCCACCGCAGCUCCUCCCCUGGGAUGAAAAAGCACUCUGACGUCUUGAAAGCUGGCAGCUCUCUGUUUGGAAAAUCUCUGCCCAGUGAAAAAAUGUACCGACAAGAUUACUAAGUAACACAGUCUUCUGGGAAUGCCUUAUCAAUGCCAGCUAUUUGAAGAGCACCCAAAGUCAAACUAGUGCUCCGCGCUGGCAGUCUGGAAAAGGCAGAUAGUGAAUUAAGAAGUUUAAGAGAAGCAAGUAUGAAUCUCCUGAUCUUGUGAAAUCUCAAGUAGCUAAAAGGAAGUAUUGACAUUUUUUAACUGGAAGUAUUUGAAUUUACCUGGAUUUAAACCUGCAUUGGCAUUUUUUAUAACAUAUAUGAUGACUGAAUUUCUGUAGACCCAGUAGGAAAUCGCCUAUUUUUUUUUUUUUUUUUUUGAAAAAUCAUCUUCCCGAACUUUGCAGUUCUUUAAUCAAAUUUGCACAUGGCUCUGAUGGGUUUAUAGUUCUUUACUGCCUCCCUGAUUUUGCAUGUGUCUUUAUACCAUCUUCUAAUUUCUUACUUCCUUUUUGUCCUUAUCACUAUACUCUCUUUCUCUCCAAAUUCCAUCAGUCUUUAAAUGUUCACUUCAAAUUCUAUCUUCAUAAAGUUUUUCUCACACUUUCUUUUCUGUAAAUGCUUUCCUAUGGUUUGAAUGUUUGUGUCCCCUCAAAAUUCAUAUGUUGAAACCUAAUUCCCAGUGUGAUAGUAUUAAGAAGUGGGGCCUUUGGGAAGUGAUUAGGCUAUGAGAUUUCCAGCAUCAUGAAUGGGAUUAAUGCCCUCAUGAUAGAGGCUUUAGGGAGCUUAUCCCUUUUGCCAUAUGAAGAUGCAGCAAAGAGACAGCAAAAAGGUACCAUCUAUGAAGCAGAGAAGCCCUUACCAGCCACCAAAUCUGCUGGUGACUUGACCCGAACUUCUCAGCCUCCAAAACUAAGGCAAUAAAUGUUUAUAAAUUAUUCAGUCUAAGGUAUUUUUUCACAGCAGUCCAAAGGGACUAAACUACUCUAUAGUCAUUAAUCAUCACUCUUACCUUCCAUACCUAUGAGAACCUAAAUAAGCUGCUUAACUUCUCUGAGCCUCAGUUUCCUGAGAAAUAAAUGGGGGUAAUUAUAGUGUCUACUUUAUAGUCUGGUUGUGAGGGUUAGAUUAUUUAAUACAUAUAAAAUAUUAGAACAGAGCCUGACAUAUUGUAAGCAUGUGACAAACAUUAAUUUUUAUUAAUAUUUAACAGCUAAUUGCAUCCUUAUUUUAAAGUUUUCCAUUUUUUUCUAUUUUCCAUAUGGUAGAGGUUAAAAUUUGUUGAUUUGAUUUAAUUAUGUAUAGUAUAAUGCCAAAGGGAAUCUUUCUUCAAAUUUUUAAUUAUAUUGUAAAGAGUUACUAAUUGACAGUUUUCUUAUAAGUUAGCUUAGUUAUAAUAAAAUGUUUAAAAAGUGAACAUAAUGAAUACUUAUUACCU
rnacentral:lncRNA from 1 species